AACGAACGCUGGCGGCAGGCCUAACACAUGCAAGUCGAGCGAGAUCUUCGUGUCUAGCGGCGGACGGGUGAGUAACGCGUGGGAAUAUGCCCUUCUCUGCGGAAUAGCCUCGGGAAACUGAGCUUAAUACCGCAUACUCCCUUUGGGGGAAAGAUUUAUCGGAGAAGGAUUAGCCCGCGUUGGAUUAGUUAGUUGGUGGGGUAACGGCCUACCAAGCCGACGAUCCAUAGCUGGUUUGAGAGGAUGAUCAGCCACACUGGGACUGAGACACGGCCCAGACUCCUACGGGAGGCAGCAGUGGGGAAUCUUAGACAAUGGGGGCAACCCUGAUCUAGCCAUGCGGGGUGAGUGAUGAAGGCCUUAGGGUUGUAAAGCUCUUUCAGCUGGGAAGAUAGUGACGGUACCAGGAGAAGAAGCCCCGGCUAACUCCGUG
rnacentral:rRNA from 1 species